UGCAAGUCGAACGCUGAAGCCCCAGCUUGCUGGGGUGGAUGAGUGGCGAACGGGUGAGUAACACGUGAGUAACCUGCCCAUCACUCUGGGAUAAGCGCUGGAAACGGCGUCUAAUACUGGAUACGAGCAGCGACCGCAUGGUCAGCUGCUGGAAAGACUGGUUCGGUGAUGGAUGGACUCGCGGCCUAUCAGCUUGUUGGUGAGGUAAUGGCUCACCAAGGCGACGACGGGUAGCCGGCCUGAGAGGGUGACCGGCCACACUGGGACUGAGACACGGCCCAGACUCCUACGGGAGGCAGCAGUGGGGAAUAUUGCACAAUGGGCGCAAGCCUGAUGCAGCAACGCCGCGUGAGGGAUGACGGCCUUCGGGUUGUAAACCUCUUUUAGUAGGGAAGAAGCCUUCGGGUGACGGUACCUGCAGAAAAAGCACCGGCUAACUACGUGCCAGCAGCCGCGGUAAUACGUAGGGUGCAAGCGUUGUCCGGAAUUAUUGGGCGUAAAGAGCUCGUAGGCGGCUUGUCGCGUCUGCUGUGAAAACCCGAGGCUCAACCUCGGGCCUGCAGUGGGUACGGGCAAGCUAGAGUGCGGUAGGGGAGAUUGGAAUUCCUGGUGUAGCGGUGGAAUGCGCAGAUAUCAGGAGGAACACCGAUGGCGAAGGCAGAUCUCUGGGCCGUAACUGACGCUGAGGAGCGAAAGCAUGGGGAGCGAACAGGAUUAGAUACCCUGGUAGUCCAUGCCGUAAACGUUGGGAACUAGAUGUAGGGCCUGUUCUACGGGUUCUGUGUCGUAUCUAACG
rnacentral:rRNA from 1 species